rnacentral:lncRNA from 1 species
GGCUCCUCAGAUGAUUGUGCACCAAGAGAGCAUCCCAUGAGCCUGGGUUCCCAUGGCAUCCAAAGACAAAGAUGUAGUGCCCUCACUGGGCUCCCCCUGGGACGCCAUCCUCCAGGCUGCCAAAGACCAGCUCCCAUCCCUGGACUCCGACUCUGACUCUUCCUUGCCGGACUUUGGCGAAGGGGAACCAUUCAUCUUCCAGCGCAACCAACCUGUCCUGAUUCCAGACCUGGCUGAGGAGCUGACCGAAGGCCCUGCUGCAGCCCGCCGUGGUGCCUGUGGGACUUGCUGCAGAACCUGGGAGUGAACAGAACUCAAGGAUAAAGGAAUGGACCUCUCUGGAAGGAAGGAGCCCUGGCCCGCUGCUCAAGAGCUUUGCUAAGAUCCAUUCUCUUCCUGAGAUAGCUGAGGAGACCCCUGCAUGGAGGGAAGGUGACCUUGGGAGCCUGUCCUUCAACACCAAAGGGUUCCAGAAUCCUCCCUGGGGUCUGCAGGGAGAAGCUACUCUUGCCCCUGCAGGACAGCCGGAUACAGAGCCCCUGGGCUCUGCCUGGCAAGAUUGUGCCAAGCGCAGAGCCCUCCGCCAGGAGAGGAGGAGGAUGAUAGAGAAUGACGUGCUCCAGAAAGUAACCUGGGAUGCCCGGAACCCCGCCUGCGGGGACCAAGCCCAGGCCGCGGAGUCCGGUCCCAGGCUAGCAGCACACUUGAAGGGGCCUGGGGAAGGCCAGCCAGUACUCUCGCUCCAGCAACUUGAAGAGUGGGAUUUGGAUUACAUCCUUCAGAGUCUGCCAGAGCGAGAAGACAACCAGGGAAAUUGUGCACCCAGAACCGCGUGGUGGGCAGCUGAACGCUGCCAAGGCCAAGACCGUACUGUGCCACGAUCCCAGGACAGGCUUCUGGAGCAGCUGGUCCUCCUGUGUGCCAUGCAGCAGAGAGCCCCAGACUCUGCCCAGAAGGUACCUGCUCACAGGCCCAAAGACACCAAGGAACAGGAGGCCAGAAGCAGAUGCACUUCUGUAAAGCUGGGCUCUCAGGCUGUGCAGGGCCAGAAGCUAGCUGGGGGCAUGAGGCCGAAGACAGAGCCUCCUACUAUCUUCAUUGACCUGCGGCAGACAGAACCCCCGGAGCCCCACGAUGAGUCCCCAGGAAGCUCCAGCCACAGCUCCUCUGACAGUGGAGAGGAGGACGAGGACGAGUGUGAGGAAGAGGACAGAGCAGCUCUAGGAGACCCGCAGGGCCCAGCACCGCGGGCAUCUCUUUCCUCCUGGGGCCUGAGGGACUGCACUGGGAAAAGCCAGCUUCUCCAGCAGUUGAGGGCAUUUCGGAAGGGAACAGCUCUGCCCCGGCCACCUGCCAGUGAGGGCAGCUGUGGCCAGAGAGCUCCAGUCACUAAAGAAGUGGCCAGAUCCAGAAGUGACAGCAGAAAAGACAUGAAACUCUGCGCAGAGGGGCCAAGUGCCCAGCCUGGACUCCCAGGAGGAUAUCCCAGGGCUUUGGAGCCAGGGCCCUCCAGGGAGGCCCUGGUGCCUCCUCUGGGCCAGCUGUAGGGUCCUCAG